UUCUUCAAACUUUGCAAAUGGCUUUCCUCUGUGCUGAGACCCUAGAAUCCCUGAAUCAAACCUGCUAUGACUAUGGAGAAGAACAUGUCAAUAGCCCUGUGGUCACCAACCCAUCGAUCGUGAUCUACUGGUCGAUCUUGGGAUUCCAACCAGUCGAUUGUGAGGCUUUUGGGGGCCCCCUCACUGCCCCAACCCCCAAGAUGAAUGCUGCGCUGAUGCGACCUCCAGGAAUAACGGAGAUAGAUCAUUUUAAAGGGAGCAGUCAUCAACUCUAGAAGAAACCAAAUCUAAUCCAGCUUUGUCCUCAGUGAUUUUCAACAGAUGGUAUCUCAAAUCAAACCAGAUAACAUAUUCAGUAUUCUUCAUUACAAACACGAGGCUCAGUUGCAAAGGAAAUUCUUGAUAAGUAAAUUGUAAAGGCAGGUCAGGAUUGGAGAAGAUAAAUUUUAUGUUCAUGUCUUGUUACAGGACCAUAUUCAAUGUGUUUGCUCCACUUUCCUAUCUGAGGGCCCAAUCCUGCAUUGAAGUCAGUGAGAAUUUUGGAUGUGUAAGGACUGCAAAAUUGACUCUGUUUGUUUAAAGAAUAGAAUGGACAAUGUUUGGAGUGCUUGUCUGUUGCCCCUUUACUGUGAUAUAUAGUGGAUCUAGAAUGGAAUUUACCAGGCUAACCCUCCUCACCUCAGACCACCUCUAUUUUUCAGUAGACUUUUUAGUAGGUAUAAUGCUAGGACUUCACAUGGAACAGGUAUAAGUGAUCCUCAUCUCUUUUGCAAAAAGCAUGGGGAGAAAAAAAGGUACAUUCACAGUAUAGCUAAUAUAAUUCUAAAAUUAAAUAGUGCUUGCAAAUAGGAUUAAGUGGCACAUUCAGGCUGCUAUCUUUUUUCUGCUUGAUGCUUUUGCAGUCUGUUUGCAGAAAGUACACCUCAAUCAAAAUAUUUGUCUCAUGUGAGUCCCUGUAGGCUAUAAAGAGAAGGCGUUCUGAUAGUAGAGAAACAGGAAAUGUGUAGAGUGACCAUAUUUCCUUGUGCUGAAUACUGGACACUUGUUAAAAUUACUUCGAUUCAAGUGAGUUGAACAGCAGUCAAUCACAACUGUGCAAUACAAAUGUUCAAAAUAACAUGAAAUUUACUGAGCACCAAUUAAAAAGACUUACUGCAUUAUUAUAGCAUUAUCAAUAGGUAAAAAUUAAAAGUAUAUACUGAUAAUUAAUUAGUUACUGCCCUUUAGAAGUGCCUGCCUUGUCCUCAUCUUGCUUUCUGUACAGUGCGAUGCUUCUUGUGUACUCUAUUUGUCAUGUGAAGCAAUUUUUUGAAGGAUCCAUUUAUUUUUCAGCAACUUUUCAUAAAAGGUAGCAUAGUCUAGGUCAAAAUUCAUUCCCAGAAACAAAAUAGCCUUCAUGGUAGAAACACUGACACAUGAUUUUUCAGGUGACCAAACUGCAUUAAUGAGGGCUGUGGUGCCUGACAUAACACAAAACAAACUCAAUUACCUAUGCCAGAUCUGAGUAUUCCACUAUCUUACUGUCCAAUUCUGGAAAAAACCUUCUGUCACCUUUCAGAAAUGGGAGUUUUCUAAGUGUUCCAGUCACACAUGUGACAAGAUAUUAGUGGUUUUGCAUUUGUUCAUUCAUCAAAAAGAUGAUUCCCAUCUAUGAAACAUAGGAUGGGAAUUCUUGUGUGGCAAAGGCAAGACUGCUUUGUAUAUUAUCCCAAGCUAGCAUGUUUCUCAACAGGGCACACUCAAACUUUUCUUGCAUUCAAAGGCAGGAUUCCAGUACUGCACAUACUUCAGAAACGUUGAAUAAAAAUUCUCGACUGCAUUGUGAAAUUCCUGUUCCUUAAUUUUCCCAUCCUCAAUCAAAGACUGCAGCAGGGACACUGUGUAUGAUGUGAAAAAUCUUUCUCUGAGCCUUAUGUUACAUUAUUUUGAAGGGUAUAGAUAUACAGAAUCACCAAUGAGUUGUUUUUCUUUAUUGCCUCUACCGUGGUUUUGCUCAGGAAGUACUGGUAGCUGGUGCAAGAGGAGGAACAUCAGAUAGUAGAUUGAAGGGGGAGCAACAGGCC